UUAAGCGACCAAGCGUACACGGUGGAUGCCCUGGCAGUCAGAGGCGAUGAAGGACGUGCUAAUCUGCGAUAAGCGCCGGUAAGGUGAUAUGAACCGUUAUAACCGGCGAUUUCCGAAUGGGGAAACCCAGUGUGAUUCGUCACACUAUCAUUAACUGAAUCCAUAGGUUAAUGAGGCGAACCGGGGGAACUGAAACAUCUAAGUACCCCGAGGAAAAGAAAUCAACCGAGAUUCCCCCAGUAGCGGCGAGCGAACGGGGAGGAGCCCAGAGCCUGAAUCAGCAUGUGUGUUAGUGGAAGCGUCUGGAAAGGCGCGCGAUACAGGGUGACAGCCCCGUACACAAAAGCGCACAUGCUGUGAGCUCGAUGAGUAGGGCGGGACACGUGGUAUCCUGUCUGAAUAUGGGGGGACCAUCCUCCAAGGCUAAAUACUCCUGACUGACCGAUAGUGAACCAGUACCGUGAGGGAAAGGCGAAAAGAACCCCGGCGAGGGGAGUGAAACAGAACCUGAAACCGUGUACGUACAAGCAGUGGGAGCACAGGUUUACCUGUGUGACUGCGUACCUUUUGUAUAAUGGGUCAGCGACUUAUAUUCUGUAGCAAGGUUAACCGCAUAGGGGAGCCGAAGGGAAACCGAGUCUUAACCGGGCGUUAAGUUGCAGGGUAUAGACCCGAAACCCGGUGAUCUAGCCAUGGGCAGGUUGAAGGUUGGGUAACACUAACUGGAGGACCGAACCGACUAAUGUUGAAAAAUUAGCGGAUGACCUGUGGCUGGGGGUGAAAGGCCAAUCAAACCGGGAGAUAGCUGGUUCUCCCCGAAAGCUAUUUAGGUAGCGCCUCGUGAAUUCAUCUCCGGGGGUAGAGCACUGUUUCGGCUAGGGGGCCAUCCCGGCUUACCAACCCGAUGCAAACUGCGAAUACCGGAGAAUGUUAUCACGGGAGACACACGGCGGGUGCUAACGUCCGUCGUGAAGAGGGAAACAACCCAGACCGCCAGCUAAGGUCCCAAAGUCAUGGUUAAGUGGGAAACGAUGUGGGAAGGCCCAGACAGCCAGGAUGUUGGCUUAGAAGCAGCCAUCAUUUAAAGAAAGCGUAAUAGCUCACUGGUCGAGUCGGCCUGCGCGGAAGAUGUAACGGGGCUAAACCAUGCACCGAAGCUGCGGCAGCGACACUGUGUGUUGUUGGGUAGGGGAGCGUUCUGUAAGCCGUUGAAGGUGUGUCGUGAGGCAUGCUGGAGGUAUCAGAAGUGCGAAUGCUGACAUAAGUAACGAUAAAGCGGGUGAAAAGCCCGCUCGCCGGAAGACCAAGGGUUCCUGUCCAACGUUAAUCGGGGCAGGGUGAGUCGACCCCUAAGGCGAGGCCGAAAGGCGUAGUCGAUGGGAAACGGGUUAAUAUUCCCGUACUUGGUGUUACUGCGAAGGGGGGACGGAGAAGGCUAUGUUGGCCGGGCGACGGUUGUCCCGGUUUAAGCGUGUAGGUGUGUGUUCCAGGUAAAUCCGGUUCACUUUAACACUGAGGCGUGACGACGAGGCACUACGGUGCUGAAGCAACAAAUGCCCUGCUUCCAGGAAAAGCCUCUAAGCAUCAGGUAACAUCAAAUCGUACCCCAAACCGACACAGGUGGUCAGGUAGAGAAUACCAAGGCGCUUGAGAGAACUCGGGUGAAGGAACUAGGCAAAAUGGUGCCGUAACUUCGGGAGAAGGCACGCUGACACGUAGGUGAAGUGGUUUACCCAUGGAGCUGAAGUCAGUCGAAGAUACCAGCUGGCUGCAACUGUUUAUUAAAAACACAGCACUGUGCAAACACGAAAGUGGACGUAUACGGUGUGACGCCUGCCCGGUGCCGGAAGGUUAAUUGAUGGGGUCAGCGCAAGCGAAGCUCCUGAUCGAAGCCCCGGUAAACGGCGGCCGUAACUAUAACGGUCCUAAGGUAGCGAAAUUCCUUGUCGGGUAAGUUCCGACCUGCACGAAUGGCGUAAUGAUGGCCAGGCUGUCUCCACCCGAGACUCAGUGAAAUUGAACUCGCUGUGAAGAUGCAGUGUACCCGCGGCAAGACGGAAAGACCCCGUGAACCUUUACUAUAGCUUGACACUGAACAUUGAGCCUUGAUGUGUAGGAUAGGUGGGAGGCUUUGAAGCGUGGACGCCAGUCUGCGUGGAGCCAACCUUGAAAUACCACCCUUUAAUGUUUGAUGUUCUAACGUGGACCCGUGAUCCGGGUUGCGGACAGUGUCUGGUGGGUAGUUUGACUGGGGCGGUCUCCUCCUAAAGAGUAACGGAGGAGCACGAAGGUUGGCUAAUCCUGGUCGGACAUCAGGAGGUUAGUGCAAUGGCAUAAGCCAGCUUGACUGCGAGCGUGACGGCGCGAGCAGGUGCGAAAGCAGGUCAUAGUGAUCCGGUGGUUCUGAAUGGAAGGGCCAUCGCUCAACGGAUAAAAGGUACUUCCGGGGAUAACAGGCUGAUACCGCCCAAGAGUUCAUAUCGACGGCGGUGUUUGGCACCUCGAUGUCGGCUCAUCACAUCCUGGGGCUGAAGUAGGUCCCAAGGGUAUGGCUGUUCGCCAUUUAAAGUGGUACGCGAGCUGGGUUUAGAACGUCGUGAGACAGUUCGGUCCCUAUCUGCCGUGGGCGCUGGAGAACUGAGGGGGGCUGCUCCUAGUACGAGAGGACCGGAGUGGACGCAUCACUGGUGUUCGGGUUGUCAUGCCAAUGGCACUGCCCGGUAGCUAAAUGCGGAAGAGAUAAGUGCUGAAAGCAUCUAAGCACGAAACUUGCCCCGAGAUGAGUUCUCCCUGAGACUUAGAGUCUCCUGAAGGAACGUUGAAGACGACGACGUUGAUAGGCCGGGUGUGUAAGCGCAGCGAUGCGUUGAGCUAACCGGUACUAAUGAACCGUGAGGCUUAACCUU
rnacentral:rRNA from 1 species